rnacentral:lncRNA from 1 species
GUCUUAAAUAACAUUGUUAGAGCUGCUGAAAGGAAAUGGACAAAUUUUUGAAUGUUUGGUAGACAUAGCCAAACCUUUUAUUGGUACAAUAAGAUCACAUCCUUGGCAUGUUACCCAAAAGGAAGACAGAUGCCUUCUUUAUGAAGAAAAUGAGAUGUACUGAGGAAGACACUACUCUGUAACCAGUGCGGUAAUGUAACUAGCACUUUAAAUUCAAAUUUGGAGUAAAACAAGGAGCACCGUUAUUUUUCUGUCUUUUUGACUGUGACUUUGGAACCACACUCAUUCAUGAACUAGAAAUGGGAGACAUAGUUACAUUAAACAACACACCUGAAAAAGUUACUUACCAAUGACCUGGUAAUUAUUGAAAAUGGUUAUAUAUUCAAGAAUAUUUGUACUGAGUGCUGUGGCUCAUGCCUGUAAUCCCAGUACUUUGGGAGGCUGAGGUAGGAGGAUUGCUUGAGCCCAGGAGUUGAGACCAGCCUGGACAACAGAGUGAGACCCUGUCUGUACAGAAAAUAAAAAAAAAAAAUUAACUGGACCUGGUGUGAAUGCCUGUAGUCCCAGCUGUUUGAGAGGCUGAGGCAAGAGAAUGGUGUGAACCCGGAAGGUGGAGCUUGCCGUAAGCCAAGAUAGCACCACUGCACUCCAACCUGGGCGAUAGAGCGAGACCCUGUCCCAAAAAUAAAUAAAUAAAUAAAUAGCAUGGAGGGGGUAGGGCAGGAGAAAUUUGAGAGAAUUCUCUGUGUAAUUCAGUAUUAAGAAUUAAUUGAACUCAGUAUAAAUUUACAUACUACCUUAAAGAGAUUUAACUGUUUGUUUAAAGAGGUAUAUUUGAGUACAUCAAAUACUUUAAAAAUAUACCCUUUUCUCAAAAUACUAGCCACAUAGAUGCAACAUGAUGGAAAACUGGCUUUGUGCCAUUUAAAAAAUGUUACAAAAAUGUUUGUGUCAUUUAAAAAAAGUAUAUAGUUGAAUAAGUUAGUUUCUUUUUUUAAGAGAUAGAGUCUUGCUAUGUUGUCCAGGCUGACCUUAAACUCCUGGGCUCUAGCAAUCCUCCUGCUUCAGCCUCCCAAGCAACUGGGACUACAAGUACACCCCACCUUGCCUGGUUAGUUUAUAUACGUUUUUGUCAAAUGUUUACACUUACAUAAACACCACCCCCAAUCAGUAUACAGAACAUUUUUGCCACUCUAGAAAAGUUUCCUCCUCAUGCUGUCUUGUCUGUCUUCAUCAUUCUAUUGUGAUUUUUACCACCAUAAAUUUUAUCUUUUCUAGAACUCCACAUUUUAUUUUCUAUCUAACUUCUUUUGCUCACCAUGCUUUGGAGAUUCAUCCAUGACAUGUGUAUCAGAAAUGUAUUCUUUUUUAUUGCUGAGUAGUAUUCCAUUGUAUGAAUAUCACAAUUUUAAAAAUCUAUUCUUAUGCUGACAGAUAUGUAGGAUGUGUCCAGGUUUUGUCUAUUUAAAAAUUGGGGGUAGUUUGUAGCUAUGUCAUAAACCCCAGUGUGCUUUCUUUCUCCUUUUUUCUGUCUAGCAGGGCUUGUGAAGCAAGCAUUUGCCCUGCAGUUAAGGGCUGGUUUCCAGGCGCUUAUAACUAAGACCACCACAAAGAGAACAGAAAACAAAACUAAAGUGAGCCCGCCAAGUCCCAGGCGGACGCCUCAAGAGUUCAGAUCUUGGGCACAGAACGACAGGCCUGCAAAUUGAAAACUCCCUUUACAGAAAGAAAAAAAAAAGAGCUAAGCAUUGAGAGAGCUCAGGGUACCCAAUUAGAGACCAAGAGAGCCACUACCACAUUGGAUCAAAUCACAGCAGUUGCUUUGAGACAGAGAGGUUACUGAAAACGCUGAGCCUUGACUAUACUGAGAGUGAGGAGGGGCACUUCCUCUCCCCAGCAGCCUUGCAGCAAAUGUCCCUGAAGUGCCUUAUCUGGGCUUCCUUCUGCAGAGGCUUCAGGCUAAGGAGUACUAGGAUAUACUCUUAAAGUACUUCCCUAACUGCUUUUCCAACAUGAGCUACAGUUUAAAAAAAAAAAAAAAA